GCCUGGCCCCCUUGGCUUCUGGGGGUGCUCCAGGCCAGGGUAGCCUGCAGCCCCCAACCAGUGCAUGGCUUCCCUGUCCACAGGUCCAGGCACAGAUGCGAGUUGUGCAGUG
rnacentral:snoRNA from 1 species